UACGUAGGGGGCAAGCGUUGUCCGGAAUUAUUGGGCGUAAAGAGCUCGUAGGCGGUCUGUCGCGUCUGGUGUGAAAACUCGGGGCUUAACCCCGGGCCUGCAGUGGGUACGGGCAGACUAGAGUGCGGUAGGGGAGACUGGAAUUCCUGGUGUAGCGGUGAAAUGCGCAGAUAUCAGGAGGAACACCGGUGGCGAAGGCGGGUCUCUGGGCCGAUACUGACGCUGAGGAGCGAAAGCGUGGGGAGCGAACAGG
rnacentral:rRNA from 1 species